rnacentral:rRNA from 1 species
GGGGUAAAAGCCUACCAAGGCCACGAUCAGUAGCCGACCUGAGAGGGUGAUCGGCCACAUUGGAACUGAGACACGGUCCAAACUCCUACGGGAGGCAGCAGUGGGGAAUAUUGCACAAUGGGGGAAACCCUGAUGCAGCGACGCCGCGUGGAGGAAGAAGGUCUUCGGAUUGUAAACUCCUGUCCCAGGGGACGAUAAUGACGGUACCCUGGGAGGAAGCACCGGCUAACUAC